rnacentral:rRNA from 1 species
UACAGAGGGGGCGAGCGUUUGUUCGGAAUUACUGGGCGUAAAGGGCGCGUAGGCGGCCUUCUAAGUCGAACGUGAAAUCCCCGGGCUCAACCCGGGAACUGCGUCCGAUACUGGGAGGCUUGAAUCCGGGAGAGGGAUGUGGAAUUCCAGGUGUAGCGGUGAAAUGCGUAGAUAUCUGGAGGAACACCGGUGGCGAAGGCGGCAUCCUGGACCGGUAUUGACGCUGAGGCGCG